rnacentral:rRNA from 1 species
GAUGAACGCUGGCGGCGUGCCUAAUACAUGCAAGUCGAGCGAACGGACGAGAAACCUGCCUUUCUGAUGUUAGCGGCGGGCGGGUGAGUAAAACGUGGAUAACCUACCUUUAAGACUGGGAUAACCUCGGGAAAACGGAGCUUAAUCCGGCAUAUCUUCUCAACCGCAAGGUUCAAAACUGACAGACGGCCUUGCUGUCACUUAUAGCUGAAUCCGCGCUGCAUUAGCUAGUAGGUAAGGUAACGGCUUACCAAGGCAACGAUGCAUAGCCGACCUGAGAGGAUGAUCAGCCACACUGGAACUGAGACACGGUCCAGACUCCUACGGGAGGCAGCAGUAGGGAAUAUUGCACAAUGGGCGAAAGCCUGACGGAGCAACGCCGCGUGUGUGAUGAAGGUCUUCGGAUCGUAAAGCUCUGUUAGUAGGGAGGAACAGAGUAGUGAGAAACUCUGCACAUCUUGACGGUACCUAAUGAGAAAGCCCCGGCUAACUACGUG